UCUCUCAACGGCUCACACACACACUCACCCUUUCUCUCUCUCUCUCUCUCUCUCUCUCUCAACUCUUCCAUUCAUCACCGGAAUCAAGCGCCUGUGAACGAAAGUCUCCGGAAAACUUCGUCCGGCGAGGGCAUUUCCAUCAAAAUCUAGGAUUAUCAGAGCCUUUCAAGUUGAAGAGCAAAAGAUUGUAAAGAAAGUUCUCAAGAUUCAGAAGGCCAAAGAGAAACUGUCAUCAAAGAGCUAGAUUAUAGCAGGCGGACAGUGUGUGGGCAUUUGUGGACAAAGUGAGGAACAUGUAUUGAUGGGUCAUCACAUGGUUGGUUCUGUCUGCUGAAGGAAUCACUAACUCACUGGUGGAUGGGAUGAUGUUUCGAUGAUCAAAAUGAUGAAUUCAGAAGACAUGGAUCAUUUGAAUCUGACACAGCAACAAAAGUUUCAGAGUUUUUCAUUUCUGAGUUUUUGUUUCUCCAAUUGUAUGUUUAAGAAUGGUUUCUAUUAGUAUUGGCUACAAAGUUGUUGUGUUAGAGUGGAGAAAUAGUGUUAUUUUGGAAAAUUACCUCCCUCUAAUGCUUGUUUGAGUUUUAUUUUUCCACAUGAUUACUAGGAUGUUCUGAUUAAUGCCUACAUAGAUUCUUCUUUUAUGGAUUAGAGUGUUUAUGUUCCUUUGGCAGUUGACUUUGGAUGCCUGUGAGCUUUUCUAUAGAAGUGUAUGGUUUUGUGUGAGUUCAUCACCA